AAAAAUGGAUAUAUUUUUAUUAAUUUUAUUAAUUACGGAGCCGCGGAACUUUUAACCGACGAAAUAUUCCGGCACCGAUUAAAACAAAUACAGAAAAAAAUCCAAAUAAUAAAAAAAUAAAAAAAGGAAAUUCCACACCAAAUUUUGCAAUAACGAAAUAUAAACGAAAUUUAAUAUGGGAUUAUUUUUAAUAUAGGGGUAAUUAUAAUUUCCACGGCCGGGAUAGGGCAAAUUAAAGCAUUGCAACGCCGAAAACCGAAUAUCCGCAUUAAUAAAACGAACCCAAACAAAACCACAGUGCGUUUUGGAACAGGAAAAAAUAUUACGGUAAUGGGAAAAAUAACGUUAAAUAUCCAGGUCGGCGAAAUUACGUUCCACGUGGUAUUAACAAAUAUACCAUUUUUAUUAUAUAUUUAAAAUAUGAAUAAAUUCGGUAUAUAUUUAAAUAAUACCAAUAACGAAUUUGUAAAAACCAAUAAUAUUAAAAUACCGAUUUUACGCAAAUGGGGAUAUUUAUAAUUUUAUUUAUUUGGAAUAACGCCGACAAAACCGGCGAUAUAUUUUACAAAAAAUAUAAAUAUAGCAAUAAUUUUUUUAAUAAAAAAAAAAUUACGAACGGUGUAUCGAAAAUUCGGCCAUUUAUUAGUAAAACGUUUAUAAAAAAUAUUAUAAAAAAUAGGCCAUAAAAUAAACCGGAAUAUAUUGGAAUUAAUAAACCGUUUUUACCAUUAUUACCAAAUUAAAAAAAACGUUUUAUAACGUUUUAAAUUUAUUUUAAAAAACGAUAUAAAUUUUAAUUACGAAAUUGUCGUCGAUAUUAUAUAUUUGGAUUCCAAACCGGUUUUAUAUAUGGUCGACGCAAAUAUUAUAUUCCAGGCAAUACGUUUUAUAAAUAACGUAUCGGUUAAAAAAAUAUAAAAAAUAUUGAAAAAAUGUUGGAUAAAUAUAUAUUUGGGACCGCUAAAUAUUAUUAUUUACAAUUUAGGCACCAAUUUUGCUAUUUUAAAUUUUAAAACAAAAAUACGUUUUUUCGGUAUAAUAUAUAACCAAAUACCAAUUAAAA
rnacentral:sRNA from 1 species